GUAGGGGGCAAGCGUUGUCCGGAAUUAUUGGGCGUAAAGCGCGCGCAGGCGGCUAUUUAAGUCUGGUGUUUAAACCAUGGGCUCAACCUGAGGUCGCACUGGAAACUGGGUGGCUUGAGUACAGAAGAGGAAAGUGGAAUUCCACGUGUAGCGGUGAAAUGCGUAGAGAUGUGGAGGAACACCAGUGGCGAAGGCGACUUUCUGGGCUGUAACUGACGCUGAGGCGCGAAAGCGUGGGGAGCAAACAGGGAUUAGAUACCCUGGUAGUCCACGCCGUAAACGAUGAGUGCUAGGUGUUAGGGGUUUCGAUACCCUUGGUGCCCGAAGUUAACACAGUAAGCACUCCGCCUGGGGGAGUACGGUCGCAAGACUG
rnacentral:rRNA from 1 species